rnacentral:rRNA from 1 species
ACAAGCGGUGGAUGAUGUGGUUUAAUUCGAUGCAACGCGAAAACCUUACCACCUUUGACAUGGCAGGAAUCCUGAAGAGAUUGGGAGUGCUCGAAAGAGAACCUGCACACAGGUGCUGCAUGGCUGUCGUCAGCUCGUGUCGUGAGAUGUUGGGUUAAGUCCCGCAACGAGCGCAACCCUUGCCAUUAGUUGCUACGAAAGGGCACUCUAAUGGGACUGCCGGUGACAAACCGGAGGAAGGUGGGGAUGACGUCAAGUCCUCAUGGCCCUUAUAGGUGGGGCUACACACGUCAUACAAUGGCCGGUACAGAGGGUAGCCAACCCGCGAGGGGGAGCCAAUCCCACAAAGCCGAUCGUAGUCCGGAUUGUUCUCUGCAACUCGAGAGCAUGAAGUCGGAAUCGCUAGUAAUCGCAGGUCAGCAUACUGCGGUGAAUACGUUCCCGGGUCUU